ACACUGGUGGUUCAGUGGUAGAAUUCUCACCUUCCAUGUGGGAGACCCGGAAUCAAUUCCCGGCCACGGCA
rnacentral:tRNA from 1 species